GCCUAGCCCGACCAGCCCAGCCCCGCCUCUUCUCCGGCAGGAUCGCGGCCGAGCAGUCUGCCCAGAGACUUAGCGACAGACAGACGCUGGGACCCACGACGACAGAAGGCGCCGAUGGCCGCGCCUGCUGAGCCCUGCGCGGGGCAGGGGGUCUGGAACCAGACAGAGCCUGAACCUGCCGCCACCAGCCUGCUGAGCCUGUGCUUCCUGAGAACAGCAGGGGUCUGGGUACCCCCCAUGUACCUCUGGGUCCUUGGUCCCAUCUACCUCCUCUUCAUCCACCACCAUGGCCGGGGCUACCUCCGGAUGUUCCCCACUCUUCAAAGCCAAGAUGGUAGCUGCCAUCCCUGGGAGCCUGGAACCAGGCAAUGGUGGGGGGAGGCAGGGGACAGGCUGGAACCUGGUGAAGUCUUAAAGUAGACUCCUCCUAUCGGGGUGUAGAAGGGAAUCUGUUAAUCAAACAGAGCAAUAUUAGAAAGGCUACAGAGGUCAAUUCAGUGGAACACGGUUCUCCCAAACAGAUUUUGUAAUUCCGAAAAUCCACGCAUGCGCAAACAUACGCAUACACUCCCAUGUUCCUGGACAGUUUAUAGCUACCAUAACCUGGCAUUUUCCAAAACAUACCAUGUAGACUCUUGGAUACACAAGGUAAUUUUAGGGCCACAUUAGGAUGAACCUUUUAAAAAGUUAUGCAUUUAUUUUUAUGUUCCCCCACUGGCUGUAUUAUAGGACAAUUUUUAUAUGUGAUAUGUAUUUACCUUAGUGUGUUAAAUAAACACUGGCAUUCCAAGUGUGAGCCUUUCUGCUCAUCCA
ensembl:lncRNA ABCC6P1 ATP binding cassette subfamily C member 6 pseudogene 1